rnacentral:rRNA from 1 species
AGAGUUUGAUCCUGGCUCAGGACGAACGCUGGCGGCGUGCCUAAUACAUGCAAGUCGAACGAAGUCGCCCAAUUGAUUCUUAGUGCUUGCAUUAAGAUGAUUUUGGAUCCGACUGAGUGGCGAACUGGUGAGUAACACGUGGGUAACCUGCCCAGAAGAAGGGGAUAACACCUGGAAACAGAUGCUAAUACCGUAUAACAACAAGAACCACAUGGUUCUUGUUUGAAAGCUGGCCUUUGUGCUAGUGCUUCUGGAUGGACCCGCGGCGUAUUAGCUAGUUGGUGAGAUAAUAGCUCACCAAGGCAAUGAUACGUAGCAGACCUGAGAGGGUAAUCUGCCACAAUGGGACUGAGACACGGCCCAUACUCCUACGGGAGGCAGCAGUAGGGAAUCUUCCACAAUGGGCGAAAGCCUGAUGGAGCAACGCCGCGUGAAGGAUGAAGGCCUUCGGGUUGUAAACUUCUUUUAUGAGUGAAGAAUAUGACGGUAACUCAUGAAUAAGCACCGGCUAACUACGUGCCAGCAGCCGCGGUCAUACGUAGGGUGCAAGCAUUAUCCGGAGUGACUGGGCGUAAAGAGUUGCGUAGGCGGUUUAAUAAGUGAAUAGUGAAACCUGGUGGCUCAACCAUACAGACUAUUAUUCAAACUGUUAAACUCGAGAAUGGUAGAGGUAACUGGAAUUUCUAGUGUAGGAGUGAAAUCCGUAGAUAUUAGAAGGAACACCGAUGGCGUAGGCAGGUUACUGGGCCAUUUCUGACGCUAAGGCACGAAAGCGUGGGGAGCGAACCGGAUUAGAUACCCGGGUAGUCCACGCCGUAAACGAUGGAUACUAGCUGUUGGAGGUAUCGACCCCUUCAGUAGCGAAGCUAACGCGUUAAGUAUCCCGCCUGUGGAGUACGGCCGCAAGGCUAAAACAUAAAGGAAUUGACGGGGACCCGCACAAGCGGUGGAUUAUGUUCUUUAAUUCGAUGAUAACCGAAGAACCUUACCAGGGCUUGACAUCCAGGGAAGGUCUGCGAAAGUAGACUGUGCCUUUUGGAACCCUGUGACAGGUGAUGCAUGGCCGUCGUCAGCUCGUGUCGUGAGAUGUUAGGUUAAGUCCUUCAACGAGCGCAACCCUUGUGAAUAGUUGUAUUUUUCUAUUCAGACUGCCCCGGUAACGGGGAGGAAGGAGGGGAUGAUGUCAGGUCAGUAUUUCCCUUACGUCCUGGGCUAGAAACGUAAUACAAUGGCUAGUACAAUGCGCAGCGAAGCCGCGAGGUGAAGCAAAUCGCAUCAAAGCUAGUCCCAGUUCGGAUUGUAGGCUGAAACUCGCCUGCAUGAAGUCGGAAUCGCUAGUAAUCGCAAAUCAGCAAGUUGCGGUGAAUACGUUCCCGGGUCUUGUACACACCGCCCGUCAAACCAUGAAAGUGACCAACACCCGAAGUCCGAUUCGUCGGCCUAAGGUGGGGGGCAUGAUUGGGGUUAAGUCGUAACAAGGUAUCCGUACCGGAAGGUGCGGAUG